CAGGUAUUUCUUCACAGCAGCAUGAGAACAGACUAAUACAGCAACCUGCAGAUUCAAGGCAAUCUCUAUCGAAAAUUCCGGGUCAUAAACUAGCUGGCUCUUAUGCCAUAAGGGGCAUUUUUUUGUGUUCCCCCGCUUCUGUGGGGACACAAAUUCCAGAGUUGGGCUGUACUCUAAUUCUACACUCACUGUCCCAAUAAGCAGUGGUGCAAGACUUAGUAAGACAUACUUUAUCAGCUGCUCUAUUCGCAGAACUAAAGCUAAUCAUAGUGGUCUUUGCAAAGUGGUUUGCUCUAGAUAGGAGAGGCUCUUAAUAUUUUUCUUUUAGUU
rnacentral:lncRNA from 1 species